rnacentral:tRNA from 1 species
AAGGUUUUAAGUUAAUUAAACUAAUAAUCUUCAAAAUUAUAUAUAAAGAAAAUUCUUUAAGCCUUA